UGAGUUGCCUGUUACAGGGACUCAACUGUCGAGGAGCGCCAGCCUCUUCGGCGCUUCUCGUGUCCAUGUUGCUCAAGGAGGAUAUGGCUAUGAGGA
rfam:Ensifer sp. LCM 4579 contig_25, whole genome shotgun sequence.